UUCGUAGGCGGUGCGGCAAGUCGGGAGUGAAAUCUCUGGGCUUAACCCAGAGGCUGCUUCCGAAACUGCUGUGCUUGAGUGUGGGAGAGGCGCGUGGAAUUGCAGGUGUAGCGGUGAAAUGCGUAGAUAUCUGCAGGAACACCCGUGGCGAAAGCGGCGCGCUGGACCACAACUGACGCUGAGGAACGAAAGCUAGGGGAGCAAACAGGAUUAGAUACCCUGGUAGUCCUAGCCCUAAACGAUCAGGACUUGGGGUGCCGCCCGUUCGGGCGUCGUCCCGGAGCUAACGCGUUAAGUCCUGCACCUGGGGAGUACGGUCGCAAGACUGAA
rnacentral:rRNA from 1 species